GUCACUUUGAGCAUUAGAUCAAAUGGAUGAAUUAUAUGGUAACCAUACGCCAGUAGAUUCUAGAAUAUUGUUUUGUAAUACUUCGACCUAUCCGGACGUCGGAUCACUAUUGCUAGAUGGUUAUAUCGAUUAGUAUAAAAAAUUAUUCCUAUGCUACUGGCUUAGGUUCGAACCUAUGAGAUCACACACAUUAGAAGAUUUGAUCAGAUCUGAUGACUGAAGAGUCCAAUUGGAUUGUGACUCUGGUGAGCAGUUCCACUGGAAUUGGGACUCUGGAGGAGUCUCACUAGAAUUGAGACUCUACUAUUUAUGAAGA
rnacentral:lncRNA from 1 species